rnacentral:rRNA from 1 species
AGCAGCCGCGGUAAUUCCAGCUCCAAUAGCGUAUAUUAAAGUUGCUGCAGUUAAAAAGCUCGUAGUUGAAUUUCGGGACCAAUAUGUCGGUCGUGCCUCGGUACGUACUGGCAUCGUUGGUUUCUCCCUUCUGACGAACCAUGAUGUCAUUUAUUUGGUGUCGUGGGGAAUCAGGACUGUUACUUUGAAAAAUUAGAGUGUUUAAAGCAGGCUCACGCUUGAAUACGUUAGCAUGGAAUAAUGAAAUAGGACGUUUGAUUCUAUUUUGUUGGUUUCUAGGAUCGACGUAAUGAUUAAUAGGGAUAGUUGGGGGCAUUAGUAUUCAAUUGUCAGAGGUGAAAUUCUUGGAUUUAUUGAAGACUAACUACUGCGAAAGCAUUUGCCAAGGAUGUUUUCAUUAAUCAAGAACGAAAGUUAGGGGAUCGAAGACGAUCAGAUACCGUCGUAGUCUUAACCAUAAACUAUGCCGACUAGGGAUCGGAUGAUGUUAAUUUUUAAUGACUCAUUCGGCGCCUUAAC